AUUGAACGCUGGCGGCAGGCCUAACACAUGCAAGUCGAACGAGUGGCGGAAGGGUGAGUAAUGUCUUGGAAACUGCCUGAUGGAGGGGGAUAACUAGUGGAAACGGUAGCUAAUACCGCAUACCAUCGGAUGUGCCCAGAUGGGAUUAGCUAGUAGGUGGGGUAACGGCUUACCUAGGCGACGAUCCCUAGCCGGUCUGAGAGGAUGACCGGCCACAUUGGAACUGAGACACGGCCCAGACUCCUACGGGAGGCAGCAGUGGGGAAUAUUGCACAAUGGGCGAAAGCCUGAUGCAGCCAUGCCGCGUGUAUGAAGAAGGCUUUCGGAUUGUAAAGCUCUGUCAGUGGUGAGGCGGUACUCACAGAAAAAGCACCGGCUAACUCCGUGCCAGCAGCCGCGGUAAUAC
rnacentral:rRNA from 1 species